UACGUAGGUGACAAGCGUUGUCCGGAUUUACUGGGCGUAAAGAGCGCGCAGGUGGUCGACCAAGUCGCGUGUGAAAGCCCCCGGCUCAACUGGGGAGGGUCACGCGAUACUGAUCGACUCGAAGGCAGGAGAGGGUAGUGGAAUUCCCGGUGUAGUGGUGAAAUGCGCAGAUAUCAGGAGGAACACCGGUGGCGAAGGCGGAUCUCUGGGCCGUAACUGACGCUGAGGAGCGAAAGCAUGGGGAGCGAACAGG
rnacentral:rRNA from 1 species